CCCUGGGCCUUCCUUAGAGUGGAAGUCUGCUCCCUGGAGCUCUGCCUUGAAUCUCAGCUCUCCUCUUUGAAGCCACACAGAACACAUCUGUCCCCAGUGUCCCGUGACUGUCCUUUGCUAUUUGAAGACAGUGAUCACAUCCCCUCUCCAUGUCUUCUCUCCAGGUGGAACAUGUCCAGUUUCUUCAACUGUCCCUUACAUGACAUAGCUCAUAUGCCUGCUGGACCAUACCAAGGGUGGUGCCCUUAGAGCUAUGCAAUACCGUGACCUCAUUCUGAGUCCCUUCCCCACCCUCCUCAGGCUCUGAAUCUACUCCUCUUUGCCUAGGUUCCUCCUGAGAUGUGCAGUCUAGAAUUCAGCUCAGUCCUCUGAACAGGCGAGGACAGCCCCAUCUCCUACUACAAGACCUGUGCUGUCCAGUGAUAAUAUAAGAACAUCUCACUUGGACUAGCCACGUUUCAAGUGCUCGGGGACUCCACGGAACUAGUGGCUCCAGUGCUGGGCAGUGCAAUCCAGACUCUACGUUUGUUAACACGAUCUGAACUGCUGUGGUGUUGCAGCCACGUCCCUCUGGUUCAGGAGGAACGGGUCAUCAAGUGCCUAAGGGUUGGGGCCUCUGGGUGGCAGGCAGUCGGGAUCCCAGUCUGGGUUUCAUCACUAGUUCACUAUGUAUGUGAUGUCGCUCUUCCUUUCCAGGCCUCAGCAUCCUCAUCUGACAAACACGAGGUGAGAAGAAGAAAGCAGCGCCUGCUCGGUACCAGGAACUCCCCGGGUCGCUCCCCAUGUGCUGUUACAUGUUUCUUGCAAAGCCCAGUGUUGUAGGUUUUCUCAUCUCCGUUUCAUUCCCACUUGACCCUGAGACUUCCUCCAGGGCCUUGUGGACUCACAGCUGGUAUGUUGGUUGCUUCUGCCCUCCUGGCCACCAUUGGAUACCAGUGAGGCUCAAUUUCAGGCACGCAGCCCUCAAACCUCUUCCCUUCCUUGUCGUGACUCCUUCACUAAGUCAUAGACUAAGGACAACGAUGGCAGUGUUUUGAUACGUGUCUGCAGGUGGCGGGCUCCUGCUAGACGGAAACGCCUCUGCCUGCCCAGGUGUCUGGUCUGUCACUUGCAGAGCGGUCCCUUCAUGGUGGUAGUCGUGAGGCCAGGUCCCAGCCCCUCCCUGUGUCUGGUACUGUCUGCUAGAAAGUAUUAAAGUGAAACCCAGACAUCACACUGCCCACAGCUUCCUCCCUCAUUGGCUUCCUCCCCAGCUCCUCACAUCCAGCUUACUUCUCCUUCCUGACCACAGGCACUCCUUCCCGUCCAAGAGCCACCUGUGUGACUUUGAGAAAAUCACUUCACUUGAUAGAAUCUCCGUGUCCAUGUGUGAAAUAGAGGAGAAUUCCAUCUUCCUCCUGAGGUCCUGCACUGGGCCUGACAGAGGAACGAGUGAGGCAAAGACCCUGGCUAGAGAAACUCACAGACUGUAAACAGGCCUGGAAACAGCAGGCAAGAAGGUAGAAUAUCUGUACACAUUGCAAUGUGGGGACGGAGGGCCCAUCCAGUGACAUCAGGAGAGCGCUUGCUCGCCCACCCCCUCUCUAUUGAUUUGUUCACUGUGUUUAUGGCUCCCUUGUGUGUUUGGCUGGUCAGUGUUUUGAAUUGGUCUUUAAUUAUAUCUCAUUCAAAUGACUAAGGCAUAUGGAGAGGUUGUCAAGCCAAAAGUUUAUUAUGCACCUAUUAUGUGCCACUCCUACUACUCUUCUCUGCAACAUUAAUAGAGGAAACUGAGGCUCAGAGGAGUUAAGUAAACCACUGAUCAAGUUGGCCCAGGGGCCCACAUCUCCUGACUCCAGCAUAGGCUCUUUAUGAGUUUGGAUGGGUGAGAUCUUUGGAUGAGGUAUCUCAGAACAAGGAGCCAGCCUGGGUGAUCCGUUUGCCCAGCUAGAGUCACUGAGCAAGCUGGACACCUACAGAUGCCACAGGUAGGAACAACUGCUAUGUACUCUGGCUCAGCUUGAGAAUAGUUGGUUUAAUUUAUGAAUUUAGAUGGUUGAAAAACCAAAAACCAUAGAAAGAAGCAGCACUUGUCAAGUGCCUACUAUGUGCCAGGAACUUCUGGUUCCCUUUUUUCAUCUGUGAAAUGGGGAUGACAGUAAAAUAAUCUCCUGAUUGAUGAAGGAUCAAGUGAGAGCCAUGGAAUUACUUAGCAUGGAGGCUGUACUUAAUAUGUU